CCAGUCAGUUAAUAGCCGACCGCUCUACCACUGAGCUACUAAGGAACAACGUGAGAUUAGAUCUCAUAGAGUUCAAUUCCCGUUCUCAACCCAUAACCAAUAUAAGCUCGAAGUUUCCUUCGUAACUCCCGGAACUUCUUCGUAGUUUCUUCGUUCCAUGCCUCAUUUCAUAGGGAACCUCAAAGUGGCUCUAUUUCAUUAUAUUCCAUCCAUAUCCCCAUUCUAUUCAUUUAAUAUCCCCUUUCCUUUGGUGUCAUUGACAUAAGAGAUGUCGUUUCUAGUCUAUCUCUUUCUAUUUCUAUAUUCUAUUUCUAUAUAUAUAUGGAAAGUUUAAAAAUCAUCAUAUAAUAAUGCAGAAAUUGCAAUAGAAAAGAAAAAGGGAGGUUUGUGAUGAUUUUUAAAUCUUUUAUACUAGGUAAUCUAGUANNNUUUGUAACAAGUAGUUUUGUUGGUUGGUUAAUUGGUCACAUUUUAUUCAUGAAAUGGGUUGGAUUGAUAUUAGUCUGGAUACAACAAAAUAAUUCUAUUAGAUCUAAUGUACUUUUUCGAUCUAAUAAGUACCUUGUGUCAGAACUGAGAAAUUCUAUGGCUUGAAUCUUUAGUAUUCUCUUAUUUAUUACCUGCGUCUACUCUUUAGGCAGAAUACCGUCACCCAUUUUUACUAAGAAACUGAAAGAAACCUCAGAAACGGAAGAAAGGGAGGAAAGUGAGGAAGAAACAGAUGUAGAAAUAAAAACAACUUCUGAAACGAAGGGGACUAAACAGGGAUCCAUCGAAGAAGAUCCCUCUUCUUCCAUUUUUUCGGAAGAAAAGAAGGAUCGGGACAAAAUCGACAAAACGGAAGAGAUCCAAGUGAAUGGAAAGGAAAAAACAAAGGAUGAAUUUCAUUUUCACUUUAACGAGACAUGCUAUAAAAAUAGACCAUUUUAUGAAACUUUUUAUCUGGAUGGGAAUCAAGAAAAUUCGAAGUUAGAAAUAUUGAUAGAAAAAAAAAAAAAAAAUCUUUUCUGGUUUGAAAAACCUAUUGUAACUAUUCUUUUUGACUCGAAACGUUAGAAUCGUCCAUUACGAUAUAUAAAAAAUAAUUAGUUUGAGAAUGCUGGAAUGCUAUAUAAAUGUUAAAUGUAAAUAAUAAAUUCAAUUUAUUUAAAUAAUAUAAAUAAUUAAUAAAUUUAAAUAAUAAAUAUACAUAUAAUAAAUAUAUAUACGUAUAAUAAAUAUACGUAAAUAAUAAAUAUUUUAUUUAUUUAUUAUUAUUUAUUAAAUAUUAAUAUUAAAUUCAAAAUUAUAUUAAAUAAUUAAAAUUAGAAUUAUAUUCUAUAUUAAAUAAUUGUAAAAAAAUAAUUAUAUAAUUGAAUAUUUUAUAAUUAUAAUAUAUAUAUAAUUAUAAUAUAAUUGAAUAUUUUUAUUUAUUUUUUAUUUUAUUUUAAUAUAAUUCAAUAUUCUAAAUUUAAUAUAAUUCAAUAUUAUAAUUAUAAUAUUCUAUUCAAUUAAAUAUUAUAAUAAAAUUAAAAUAAAAAAAUUCAAUAUUAAAAUUAAUAAAAUUUAAAAUAAAGUCUUACAAUUUGUAAAUAAAAUUAAAUUUUUUUUUACAAAUUGUAAAAAGAUUAAUGCAUAAAAUAAAUAUAAUAAGAGAUAAGAAGAGAUGCGACCGCUUCCUACAUAUUUUAUACCAUCUCCUACAAAGAAACUGGUAACACCAACUCCAUUGGUAAUUCCAUCAAUUAUUCGUUUAUCAAAAAAAUGAAUUAAUUCAGCUAAUUUUCUUAUACCUCCAAUAAAAGAUAUUUCAUAAAAAGCAUCUAUGUAACCUCGAUUAUAGGACCAGUUAUAUAUGACGUUUAUUAUUUUGUCCCAAAGAAUUCUCUUAGAACAUUUUUUAGCGAGCGAAUUAAAGAAAUUCAAAUUUUGUAACGAUGAAUAAACAGGCUUAUAAAAAGAGGACGCUAUAAAUAUUCCGAAAAAAGCUAUACUGACUGAAAAAAUUGCAUUUGUUACAAAUUCAUACCAAUCCACAGAAUUCUUUGAAUUUUGAUGCAAAAGUUUUAAAGACGGAGUUAACAGUUUUGACAAUAUAUCCACCUCCAUUCCUUUUUGAUUGAAACGAAUUUGAUUGAAAGGAAUUCCUAUGGCUCCAAUAAACAAAGCAAAUAGUACCAAGACAAGCAUAGAAAAUAACAUAGUAUUAUCCGAUUCAUGAGGAUAGGCAAAAAUCCUUUUAGUGUUAAAAUUUUUAAUAGUAAUAAAAGGCCACAUCAUCUUUCUUACAUUACCAUCAAUUUGAUAUGUGUUCUUCCAAAAAAAAGAAGCCCUUUCGUUAUUAUUCGUUGUUAAGAAAGGUAAUAAACCCAAACUUUCGUUAAGCAUUUUUUAUCCUUCUUUACCCCAUAAAGAUAUUGAAUAAAAUGAACUAUUUUUUUUACCACUGUAAUUUUUUAAAUGAACAUUUAAAUGUCCUUCAAAAGUAAGUAAAUAAACACGAAACAUAUAAAAUGCAGUUAAUCCGGCCGUGAAACAAGCUAUUAUUGCGAAAACCGGCGAAUACAACCAACUAUCGUUAAGAAUUUCAUCUUUGGACCAAAAACAGGCGAAGGGUGGAAUACCACAAAGAGAAAGUGUUCCUAAAAAAAAAGCAGUUUUUGUAAUUGGAAUAUGUUUUGUUAAACCACCCAUAAGAAUCAUAUUUUGACUCUUAUCUGGAGAAUAACCAACAAUAGCUUCCAUUGAAUGAAUAAUGGAUCCAUAUCCUAAAAACAAUAAUGCUUUCGAAUAGGCAUGAGUAAUCAAAUGAAAUAAAGCGACUCGAUAAGACCCCAUACCUAGAGCUAACAUCAUAUAACCUAAUUGAGACAUUGUAGAAUAGGCUAAACUUCUCUUAAUAUCUUUUUGAGGAAGAGCUAAAGUAGCUCCUAAAAAUAUUGUUAUUAUACCUAUCAAAGCUAUUAGAUUCAUUAUGUAAGGUAUGACUACAAAAAGAGGAAAAAGUCAAGCUACAAGAAAAAUUCUUGCCGCUACCAUAGUAGCAGCAUGUAUUAGAGCCGAAAUAGGAGUAGGCCCUUCCAUGGCAUCCAGUAACCAUACAUGGAGAGGAAAUUGUGCCGAUUUAGCAAUUGCGCCAGAAAAUACUAGAAAGGCACACAAAGUAACAAAUAAAAAAUGAACCUGAUUAUUAUAAACCAAGUUAUUCAAUAUUUUGAACAAAUCCCGAAAUUCGAAACUGCCCGUUAUCCAAUAAAUGCCCAAAAUUCCCAAUAAUAAACCAAAAUCCCCUACACGAUUAGUUACAAAGGCUUUUUGACAAGCAUUCGAUGCAAUAGGUCGUGUGAACCAAAACCCUAUUAAUAGAUAAGAACACAUUCCAACCAACUCCCAAAAAAUAUAAAUUUGUAUCAAAUUAGAACUAGUAACUAAUCCCAACAUUGAAGUAUUGAAAAAACUCAUAUAAGCAAAAAAUCUCAAAUAGCCUUGAUCAUGAGACAUAUAAUUGUCACUAUAAAAAAGAACCAUAAUUCCAACUGUAGUAAUUAAUACUGACAAAAUAGAAGUAAGUGGGUCAAUCAAGUGUCCGAAUUCUAAAGAAAAAUCAUUAUUGAUAGUCCACGACCAUAUAUAUUGAUAAAUAAAACUGCUAUUUAUUUGGUGAAUAGACAAGUCGAUUGAAAAAAUCAUGACUAUACUUAACAAGAAAAGGCUUGGAAAAGCCCACAUACGACGAAGUUUUUUUGUUGCCGCCGGAAAAAGUAGGAGUCCCGCUCCUAUUAACAUAGGAGCUGGGAAUGUAACAAAAGGUAUGACCCAUGAAUAUUGAUAUAUAUGUUCCAUAAAAAAACUUUUUGAAUUGAUAAUUAAUUGUUUCUUGUUUCUGAUUCAUCGGCUCUUAUAUCUUUUUAAAUAAGUCAGUCAAUAAAAAAAAAAUAUGUAAAACUUCAAUCGAAUUUUAUAUUCUUAAUUAUUCUGAAUUUUCCAAAAUACUUCACAUACAAAAUACUUCACAUAUUUAAAUCAAAAAGUUAAAAUUGGUCAAAUCAAAUAAAUAAAAAUAUUAGUGAAAAAAAAUACUUAUUCUAAAUAAAAAAAAUAAAUUAUAAUUUUAUUAUUAAAAUUUUAUUAUUAAUAUUAAUUACAUUCCAUAAUUAUUAAAUAUUAAUUACAUAUACAUAAUUAUUACAUUAAUUAUUAAUAUUAAUUUAAUUACAUAAUUACAAGUUUUUAUAUACAUAGAGAAAAGAUAAAGAAUUUUAACAAUUAUAAGAAAAGUAGUAUUUUUUUUCUUGAUAGAAAUAAAAAAAGAAAGAUGAUUUUAUCGGAUCCUUACUGGAUCAAAAUAAUUAUUUUUUUGAGUUCUUUUAUUUUUUUUAUUCAGAAUUAUUAACUAGUGGAUUUUGGAACGGAUUUAUUGCCUUUCAUUAUGUUUGUAGAAAAGACUAUCAUAUUUGAAACUUUUCCUUUACAUAAGAUAAAAAGCAAAGAAUUACUAAAUUUUUUUCCUUUUUUAACAAAUUAAUAGUCUCAUUCAAUUUGAAAAUUUUAAUUCAAUUAGAUAUACUUUUUCUUCAAGUUUGACCAAUUACUAGAAAAAUGAAGUUAAAGUCUUUUUAUUAGGAUAAAUAAAAUUUAGAGUCUUAAACUUUAUUGCUGUAUUUUAAUCCACGUAUAUAUGGAAUAUAAUGAAAAAGGCAGAAAUAGAAAAAAAAAUAAGCGGAUAGGCUUCUUUUUUGACAAGAGUAUAAUUGAGAGACUAAAUACAUAAAUAUAGUAAAGAACAAUUUUGUUUUGAACAAUAAAUGUCUUUCACAUCCAACUAUAACAAUAAACAACUUCUUUAUUAUGGCAGUUCCAAAAAAGCGCACUUCUAGAUCAAAAAAGCGUAUUCGAAAAAAUAUUUGAAAAAAAAAGGAUAUUGGGCAGUAUUAAAAGCUUUUUCAUUAGCGAAAUCUCUUUCUACAGGUAAUUCAAAAAGUUUUUUUGUGCAACAAAUAAAAAAUAAAAGGUUGUUUCUAAUAUAAAAUAGAAAUAUAUAUAAUAUAGAAUAGAAAAUAUAUAAAAUAUAUAGAAAAUAUAUAAAAAGGAUUUCCAUAUAUCUUUUUCAACUUUAGAACAUAUAUUAACUCAUAUAUCUUUUUCAAUCGUAUCACUUGUAAUUACAAUUCAUUUGAUAACUUUAGUAGUCGAUGAAUUUGUUGAACUAUAUGAUUCGUCAGAAAAGGGCAUGAUAACCACUUUUUCCUGUAUAACAGGAUUAUUAGUUACUCGUUGGAUUUCUGGGGGACAUUUACCAUUAAGCGAUUUAUAUGAAUCAUUAAUCUUUCUUUCAUGGGCUUUUUCCAUUAUUCAUAUGGUUCCGUAUUUUAAAAAUAUAAAAAUUAUUUAAGCGCAAUAACCGUCCCAAGUACUUUUCUUACCCAAGGGUUUGCUACUCAGGCCUUUUAACUAACACGCAUCAAUCCAAAAUCUUAGUGCCUGCUCUCCAAUCCCAGUGGUUAAUGAUGCACGUAAGUAUGAUGAUAUUGGGCUAUGCAGCUCUUUUGUAUGGAUCAUUAUUAUCAGUUGCAUUUCUAGUAAUCACAUUUCGAAAAAUCAUAAGAAUUAUUGAUGUUGAUAAAAGCAAUAAUUUAUUAAAUGAUUCAUUUUCCUUUAGCUUUAGUGGGAUACAAUAUAUGAUGGAAAGAAAGAAUGUUUUAAAAAAUAUUUAUUUUCUUUCUUCUAGGAAUUAUUACAGGUUUCAAUUAAUUCAACAAUUAGAUGACUGGGGUUAUCGUAUUAUAAGUAUAGGGUUUAUCUUUUUAACCAUAGGUAUUCUUUCGGGAGCAGUCUGGGCUAAUGAAGCAUGGGGAUCAUAUUGGAAUUGGGACUCCAAGGAAACUUGGGCAUUUAUUACGUGGACCAUAUUCGUAAUUUAUUUUCAUACUCGAACAAAUAAAAAUUUUGAGGGUUUAAAUUCCACAAUUGUUGCUUCUAUUGGUUUUCUUAUAAUUUGGAUAUGCUAUUUUGGAGUUAAUUUAUUAGGAAUAGACUACAUAGUUAUGGUUCAUUUACAUUAACAAUUAACAUCUAAUUGAAUUGAAGAAAGGAAAGGGUCUGACGGAUGCAACUAUAUGGGGCAGCAAAGCAUAUAUACAAAAAGCUUCGGGUAAACCGUUGAGAACCUUUUGAAUCAUUAUAUUACUUGAUUCAAAAAGUCAUUAUAUUACUUGAUUCAAAAAGUUCUCACAAAUGCCAAAAUAUUUAGUUACAAUUCCGUUUUUUUUAUUGAACUUAAAUUUAAGAGACGAAAAAAUAAGUUUUUUUCCUUGUAUAACAUAACGAUUUUAAAAAAUGAAAAAUCAUAGGAUUUCUUUUUCAUUUUGAGUUUUAUUUAGAAAAACUAUCUAUAAAAAUAAUUAGAUAGAAGAGCUUCGACCCUGCCAACUGAUAAUGAAAAAAGGAAAUCCGGAUAAAUACCAAUACCUAUUACAGGCAAAAGGAUAGAGAUCGAAACAAAUAACUCCCUCGGUCCAGAAUCAAAAAAAUAAGAGUUUGGAGCAUUAAACAGCUUGUAUUCAUAAAACAUCUGGCGUAACAUAGAUAAUAAAUAAAUAGGAGUUAAUAUCAUUCCAACUGCCAUUCCAAAAGUAAUUACUAUUUUUGACAUUAAAAGAUAUUUUUGGCCGGUAAUUAUUCCAAAAAAUACUGCCAAUUCCGCAAAAAAAUCGCUCAUGCCUGGUAAUGCAAGGGAAGCUAGUGAUAAGAUACUGAAUGUCGUGAAUAUUUUUGGCAUUAGUGUAGCCAUUCCGCCCAUUUCAUCAAGAUACACACGACGUAUUCUAUCAUAACCCGUUCCUACUAAGAAAAAAAGUGCAAUGCCAAUAAACCCAUGUUGAAGCUGCAUAGAUUAUUUGCAUGACGCCUACUAUUAUCAACCAGGGAGAAAAGAUAGAAUGAGCAUGAGGUAAUAAUUCCAUAUUGAUUCGAACCAACCCAUACUCCCCCAUUUUUAAUAAGAUUCCGGCUAGAAGCAUACAAGUACUGUAAUGUGCUUCCCCAUGGGUGUCUGGUAACCAUAUAUGUAAGGGUAUAAUCGGUAAUUUGACAGCAAAAGCAAUAAGAAAUCCAAUAUAAAAAUAUAUUUCUAGCACCACAGGAUAUGAUUGAUUGGCUGAUGUUUCAAAAUUGAAUCUUGGUUCAUUGGAACCAUAUAAAGCGAUACCCAAAGCUCCCAUUAAUAAAAAAACGGAACCCCCAGUAGUAUACAAAAUAAACUUUGUAGCUGAAUACAGACGUUUCUUCCCCCCCCCACAUGGAUAGAAGUAGAUAAAUCAGAAUUAAUUCUAACUCCCACAUGACAAAAAAAAGCAAAAGAUCUUGAGAAGAAAAUAAUCCUAUUUGACCACUAUACAUUGCUAACAUCAGAAAAUUAAAUAAGCGGGAAUCACGAGUAAUUGGCUAAGCCGCUAAAGUAGCUAAAGUGGUGAUAAAUCAUGUCAGUAAAAUAGGGCUUAAAGAAAAUCCAUCUAUUCCUAAUCUCCAGUAAAAAUCAAAAAAUUGGAUCCAUUUAUAAUCUUCUGUUGAUUGGAUUAAUGGGUCGUCCAAUUGGAAAUAAUAAGAGAAUGCAUAAGUCAUUAAAAGGAGUUCUAAAAUACAUAUAAACAAAGUAUACCACCUAAUUACCUUAUUUCCUCUAUGGGGGAAAAAGAAAAUUAAGGAACCCGCAGAUAUCGGUAAAACUACAAAUAUUGUUAACCAAGGAAAAGAAUUCGUGGUAAAGGCAAGAUACAUUUGGACUAGAAAAACCCGUACUCGAAAACAUAAUAUAUAUAUAUAUUUUGUAUUUUUUGUUUUUCGAGUACGGGUUUUUGUCGGUAAACAUAAAAUCAAAUGCAUUCAAGUGGAUUUUUCUGAAAAGUAUCAAUAAGCUAGACCCAUGCUUUGGGUUGUUUCAUGCCAUAAAUAAACUCGAACACUCAAGAAAUCUGUUGGACAGGCGGAUUCACAUCUCUUACAACCAACACAGUCUUCUGUUCUUAGAGCAGAAGCGAUUUGCUUAGAUUUACACUCAUCCCAAGGUAUCAUUUCUAAUACAUCUGUGGGGCAGGCUCGGACACAUUGAGUACACCCUAUACAUGUAUCAUAAAUCUUUACUGAAUGCGACAUUGGAUUUCUAAAUUUUUUAACGUCAUAAAAUUUCAAUCUAGUAAAUUUCUAAAUGAAUCGUCAUAUAUUUAGACACCAGACGAAUCAAUGAUUUAUCAGAAUUUUUCUAUUGAAUUCUGGAUUGACUCGUGAGAUAGGGCCAGGAUACUUUAAUUUCGUACGUUUUCGCAAACAUGAUCGGAUAAGUUACGUAUCAUACAUGCCAACUUGAAUUAAUGAAUAUGAAAAUUAUAUUCUAUAUGAUUAAUCCUACUUAUUCAACAAAUUCGAUUGAUUGAUACAUAUUGAUUUUCUAUUAUGAUAAAUUGACGAAACAAUAGCUGGUCCAAUAGCUGCUUCAGCGGCUGCAAUAGCUAUAACAAAAAUUGAAAAAAUAUUUCCCUUUAAUUGGCGACUAUUAAUAAAAUCAGAAAAUGUUACGAAAUUUAUAUUAACUGCAUUCAGUAUAAGUUCAAGGCACAUAAGGGCUCUACCAUAUUUCAUGAUCAAUCCAUAGAUACCGAUAAAAAAUAAAUAGGCACUCAAAGCGAGUACAUGUUCGAGCAUCAUUGACCAACUCCUUAUCAAUUUCGAUUUAUUUCAAUAUGAACAACAAUUCAACAUCAAUAGAUUGGAUUGACUAGAAUAAGAAUAUCCAAAGUACAGAACAAAGAAAUAUAUGGAUAAAGAUCAAAAUGGAUAUGGAUAAUAGAUCAAAUAAAAGAAUUUAUACAUAAAUAAUCUUUAAAUGGAAUUGAAAAAAAAAAUGUGAUAACAUAGAACAAAUAGAUUGGGGUUACUAAUUCUAAAGAUUUAUUGCUGACGAGCCGCAGCAAUCGCACCUAUCAAAGCAACUAAAAGAAUUAUUGAAAUGAAUUCAAACGGAAGAAAAAAAUCUGUUGAUAAAUGAAUUCCAAUUUGUUGACCAUUACUUAUUAAAUCUUGUUCUAUAAUCUGAUUUUAUUUUUGUAGUCCAAAUAAUCCCGUACCAUGAUGUAUCUGGAAUAAUAGUAAUUAGUGAAACAAAAAUACUUGUACAAAUUAAGGAAGUAACUCCGUUUCCAACAGUCCAAAGAUUAGAAUCUUUGUAAUAUUCUGAACCAUUCAUGAAUAUCACGGCAAAUAUAAUUAAAACGUUUAUGGCUCCUACAUAAAUAAGGAGCUACGCAGCAGCUACAAAAUGAGAGUUUGAUAAAAUAUAGAAUAAAGAUAUACAAACAAGAACCAACCCUAAUGAAAAGGCAGAAUAAAUUGGGUUGGUAAGUAAUACCACUCCUAGAACUCCUAAUAUAAGACCUAAUCCCAUAAAAAAUAAAAGAAAAUCAUGUAUUAGUCCAGGCAAAUCCAUUGCACGUAAAAUAAGAGAUAAAAAAAUUGAAUUGUUUUUUCAUGACCUUAUUGACCUGACCAGGAAAAAUUUAUUUAUAAUAGGUUCUAAACCAUAAGGGGUGUAAAUUACUAUAGGUAUAGCUAUUGUAUGAAUCUCAUUCUUUCUCGAAAAAGGCAUUCUAAAUUUAAUUUUAGAAAUAAUUAUGGCUAGAAUUACGCAUAUAUUAAUAGAUUUUCACAAAAAAAUAAAGCCGCGAUGCAAUUCUGACCAAUUAAAUCAAUAGCUGGAAUUUGUAAUUUUCGUAUUUAUUGACCAAGAAAAAUUAAAAAAAACCUAUUGCAGCCCUUUAGAUCAAAACAGAAUUUUAGUUUAAUAAUUGUACUUUUUAAUCAAUCAAAGCGUUUUAUCCUUUUUGUUUCUAGUUGAAUUCAAAAUUGUUCGAAUUGUAUAAUCGUCGACUACUGACAUUGGUAAACGACCUAAAGCAAUUUGAUUAUAAUUCAAUUCGUGAUGAUCAUAAGUGGAAAGUUCAUAUUCUUCAGUCAUUGAUAAACAAUUUGGUGGACAAUACUCAACACAGUUGCCACAAAAUAUACAGAUUCUGAAAUCAAUACUAUAAUUAAGCAACUGUUUCUUUCGAAUGUCAGUUUCCAAUUUCCAAUCAACAAUAGGUAGAUCUAUAGGACAUACCCGAACACAUACUUCACAAGCAAUGCAUUUAUCAAAUUCAAAAUGGAUUCGACCGCGGAAAUGCUCUGAUGUGAUUAAUUUUUCAUAAGGAUAUUGAAUAGUUACAGGUAAACGAUUUGCAUAGGAUAAGAUAAUCAUGAAACUUUGACCAAUAUAUCGUGCAACUCAUAUGGUUUGUUGCCCAUAAUUCAUGAACCCAGUUACCAUGGGAAACAUAUCAUGAAUAUUUAUGAAUGAUUUUCUAUUUUGUUUUUCUCUUAUUUGAAUUUGAAAACAAGCCAUGAAUAUAGAAAAAUAUUCCUUUUUUAUUCUUUUAUAGCGAAAGGAGUUGGAAAGAGGUUGUUAAUAAGAGAUUGCCGAGAGAAAUAGGUAAAAGAAAUUUCCAUCCAAGAUUUAAAAGUUGGUCCAUUCUUAGUCUAGGUAAAGUCCAUCUUGUUGUGAUAGGAAUGAACAAGAACAAAUAAGUUUUAACCAAUGUAAUACAGAUACCGAUUGUUAUUCUAAAAACUCCACCUAUUUUAUUUGUUUCAAAAGGCUCAGGAACGAAUAUAUAUGGAAUAGAGAUAUUCCAACCGCCCAAGUAAAGAACUAUUACAAAUAAUGAAGAAACUAAUAAGUUUACUUAGGAAGCAAUAUAAAAUAAACCAAAUUUGAUACCUGAAUAUUCGGUUUGAUAACCUGCUACUAAUUCUUCUUCUGCUUCUGGUAAAUCAAAAGGUAAUCUCUCACAUUCUGCUAGAGAAGAAAUAAAAAAAAUGAUAAAUCCUAUAGGUUGACGCGAUAAAUUCCACCCCAAAAAACCCGAUUUUGAUUGUGCCUCAACUAUAUCAAUUGUACUUGAACUGUUAGAUAAUCAUAGUCGGCGAGAACAUCACUGUUCCCAUCGCUAUUACAGAACCGUACAUGAGAUUCUCACCUCAUACAGCUCCUCGAAGGCCAUAAAUAAAUUUAAGGAGAUCGUAUUAUUUAUUUUGCUAUAUUUGUAGGAUAUAUAGGAUCAAAAUAAAAUAAUCUAAUUGAUAGAGGAAGCAUCGUAAAGAUCAAUUAGCGAGAUUUUUGGACGAUACAGUAAUAACCUGCUUACUUAUGUCAUAAUAUGAGAUAAAAGUUAGGAAUCAACUUCUGUAAAAGAGUAGAUCCCCUAAAGUAUUGAGCAGCGGUGUAGCAUCAGAUCCCAAAGAUAGUAAGUCUUUCUUAUGAGGGAAGGUCUUUUCCAAAGAUUCUAUAUAAAUUUCUAUAUAAAAAACCCGAGAUAGUUAACUUUCAAAAAAUUCUAACGAUAGUAGAAGGUCUGCGCUUUAUUCUUCUGAAGGUGGGAGAAAAGAUAAAACUGAUUUUUCAUCCAAAUUCUAGUUUGAAUUUCAUGUAAUGUAAUUAACCCCUUUUGGUUAACUCGAGAAAGAAAAUGGGACACCAAAAGAAUUGACUGCCGAGCUGUAUGAGGUAGGAAACUCUCAAGUACGGUUCUAAUGGAAGGAAUUUGCUUGCCUAUUCUGACCGAGGAGAACAGGCCAUUCGGCAGGGAGAUUUUGAAAUUGCGGAGGCUUGGUUGGAUCAAGCCGCAGAGUAUUGGAAACAAGCUAUAGCGCUUACUCCCAUAAAUUAUAUUGAAGCGCAGAAUUGGUUGAAGUUCACAAGGCAUUUUGAAUAAGAUAAGAGCAUUCCCUUUAUAUUUUUGUAUUUAUUAUUUAAUUUAGUAUUUUUUUAGUAUUUGGUAUAUUUUUUUAUUUCUUAUAAAAAAUUUGUUAUAAUUAUUUGUUUGUUAUCCCUAUCAGUCAAAUAAAAUAAAAGGAUGGUUUCUCUGGGAAGAACCAAUCAAAAAAUUUCAUGAAUUUCAUUAUACCCCUUCUAAGAUCGUCCCCUUUUGUCUGGUAUUUCAUAGGAAUAAACACUACACAGAUAUAAACAGUAGAGAAUAUAUAUUUUCUAUAUUUUCUUUUCUGUUAUUAAAAUGAAUAAAAGAUAGCCUAAUAGAUCCUGGAAUGUCUCUUACUAAUGACUAAUGGCCUCUCACCUGAUUUGGAAUAGAGUAAUAGUAAUAUGUUCUAUGUAAAAAAAAAACAUAAGUAAAAUAUAAAGCAGUCUCGGCUAGAAACUUUUAAUUAAGAUAGGAAUACACUAGGUUGCACAAAAAAUUGUUUUUGCGUUAAUUCAAAGCCCAGAAAGGUCCGUUGAGCGCCUUGUGGCUAUGUCAUAAUAGAUCCGAACACUUGCCUUGGAUCGACUUCCAGAUCAUAAUUACUCUAGUGAAUAACUAAAAAAACUAGAUAAGAUAAAUGGGAGAUAGAAGAGAAAGAAACUAAUUAUAAGUAUCUCUCAUAGGUUCACUAAUUGCUUGACUCGAUUGUUGGCGGAUCUCUUUAUAUGCGUUGUCCGGAAAGAGGAGGACUCAAUGAUUAUUCAUUCGCCGGAACCAGAAGUAUAAAUUUUGGUAGAUAGGGAUCCCGUCAAAACUUCUUUCGAGGAAUGGGCUAGACCGGGUCAUUUCUCAAGAACAAUAGCUAAAGGACCAGAUACUAAUCUGGAACCUACAUGCUGAUGCUCACGAUUUCGAUAGCCAUACCAGUGAUUUGGAGGAGAUUUCUCGAAAAGUAUUUAGUGCUCAUUUCGGCCAACUCUCAAUCAUCUUUCUUUGGCUGAGUGGCAUGUAUUUCCACGGUGCUCGUUUUUCCAAUUAUGAAGCAUGGCUAAGUGAUCCUACUCACAUUGGACCUAGUGCCCAAGUGGUUUGGCCAAUAGCCAAGAAAUAUUGAAUGGUGAUGUGGAGGGGGGGGGGGGGGGUUCCGAGGAAUACAAAUACAGGAUUUCCAUCAAUCGAAUCACUUUCUUAAGAAAUACGAGACAUCUAAGUCAUACAAGUAAAGAGAUUCAUCCAUUGAUAAGAAAAAGAAAAAACGUGAAUGGUGAUUGGAUUGAUGAUAAAAUAGAAUCCUUGGUCGCGAACAGUGAUUCGAUUGAUGAUAAAGAAAGAGAAUUCUUGGUUCAAUUCUCCACCUUAACGACAGAAAAAAGGAUUGAUCAAAUUCUAUUGAGUCUGACUUGUAGUGAUCAUUUAUCAAAGAAUGACUCUGGUUAUCAAGUGAUUGAAGAGCCGGGAGCAAUUUAUUUAUGAUACUUAGUUGACAUUCAUAAAAAGUAUCUAAUGAAUUAUGAGUUCAAUACACCCUGUUUAGCAGAAAGACGGAUAUUCCUUGCUUAUUAUCAGACAACCACUUAUUCACAAACCUCGUGUAGGGUGAAUAGUUUUCAUUUCCCAUCUCAUGGAAAACCCUUUUCGCUCCGCUUAACUAUGUUUAUACUCAAGUAAUCAAAUAUGUCAUGGUUACAGGAGUCUAUACAUCGCAUAUAGGCUUUAACAGCAUCGUGGCAUAACCGUCGAGGUGAGUUCGGGACCUAAAAGAUCGAAUAGAAAGAGACAUAGACAAAUAAAUCCCUUACGAAUUCUAAGGUACUAGGAUUUUAUCAUUCGAAGGGAAGUAUACUACUCAAGAAUUUCACAUUUCAUUUAGAUCGUAAUUGUGAAAAUUGAAUAAGUUGUGAUAAUUGAAUAAAGAAUUCAGAAAUUCGAAAAAAAAAGGAAGAAGGAAUUAAUGAGAGCUUGCUUGGUGUUCAUUAUUCAUUGGGAACUUGAGUAAGGAGUAGCUCUUUUUUUGGUUUUUACCGAUUUUGAAAUUUGAAAGCAGGAACCCUUUUCUUUCUAUUUGGUAUAACUACUUGAGCCGGAUGAGAGGAAACUUUCACGUCCGAUUUUGAAAGGGGGAGACCUAUAGUAUAGGAGUAUAGGAUCCUAUCCCAAUUUUUCUUUUGCUAGGCCCAUAGCUAAAAAACCUACUUUUUUACGAUUACGAGGUUCAUUCGAAUACGAAAUUCAAUCAUGGAAAUACAGUAUUCCACUUUUUUUUACUGCCCAAGGCUUCGAUACAUUUCAAAAUCGAGAAAUUUCUAUAGGAGCUGGUGCUAUCCGAGAAUAAUUAGCCGAUCUAGAUUUGCGAAUUAUUAUAGAUUAUUCAUCGGUAGAAUGGAAAGAAUUAGGGGAAGAAGGGCCUACGGGGAAUGAAUGGGAAGAUCGAAAAGUUGGAAGAAGAAAGGAUUUUUUGGUUCGACGCGUGGAAUUAGCUAAGCAUUUUAUUCGAACAAAUAUAGAACCAGAAUGGAUGGUUUUAUGUCUAUUACCAGUUCAUCCUCCCGAGUUGAGACCGAUCAUUCAGAUAGAUGGGGGUAAACUAAUGAGUUCAGAUAUUAGUGAACUCUAUAGAAGAGUUAUCUAUCGGAACAAUACUCUUAUUGAUCUAUUAACAACAAGUAGAUCUACGCCAGUAGAAUUAGUAAUGUGUUAGGAAAAAUUAGUACAAGAAGUCGUGGAUACACUUCUUGAUAAUGGAAUCCGCGGACAACCAAUGAGAGAUGGUCAUAAUAAGGUUUACAAGUCAUUUUCGGAUGUAAUUGAAGGCAAAGAAGGAAGAUUUCGUGAGACUAUGCUUGGAAAACGAGUUGAUUAUUCGGGGCGUUCUGUCAUUAUCGUAGGCCCCUCAAUUUCAUUACAUCGAUGUGGAUUGCCUCGCGAAAUAGCAAUAGAACUUUUCCAGAUAUUUGUAAUUUGUGGUCUAAUUAGACAACAUCUUGCUUCGAACAUAGGAGUUGCUAAGAGUAAAAUUCGAGAAAAAGAGCCAAUUGUAUGGGAAAUACUUCAGGAAGUUAUGCAGGGGCAUCCUGUAUUACUAAAUAGAGCACUGACUUUGCAUAGAUUAGGCAUACAGGCAUUCCAACCCAUUUUAGUGGAAGGCCGCGCUAUUUGUUUACAUCCAUUAGUUUAUAAGGGAUUCAAUGCAGACUUUGGUGGGGAUCAAAUGGUUGUUCAUGUACCUUUAUCAUUGGAGGCUCAAGCGGAGGCUCGUUUACUUAUGUUUUCUCAUAUGAAUCUCUUAUCUCCAGCUAUUGGAGAUCCCAUUUCCAUACCAACUUAAUAUAUGCUUAUUGGGCUCUAUGUAUUAACAAGCAGGAAUCGCCGAGGUAUUUGUGCAAAUAGGUAUAAUCUAUGUAAACACAGAAAUUAUCAAAAUGAAAGAAUUUACGAUAAUAACAAUCAAUAUACGAAAGAAUCCUUUUUUUCUAAUUCCUAUGAUGCAAUUGGUGCUUAUCGGCAGAAAAGAAUCAAUUUAGAUAGUCCUUUGUGGCUCCGGUGGCAACUAGAUCAACGCGCUAUUGCUUCAAGAGAAGCUCCCGUCGAAGUUCACUAUGAAUCUUUGGGUACCUAUCAUGAGAUUUAUGAACACUAUCUAAUAGUAAGAAAUAUAAAAAAAGAAAUUCUUUGUAUAUACAUUCGAACUACUGUUGGUCAUAUUUCUCUUUAUCGAGAAAUCGAAGAAGCUAUACAAGGGUUUUGCCAAGCCGGCUCAGAUGGUAUCUAAUCAUAGGGAUCUAAGCUAAGUAAUUCUAUGACACUGGCAUGAAUUCUGAUCUCUUCGGUUCAGCUAGGACCCUAGUUCCUGAAUUUCAUUUCCAUGCAAAUCAAGAUCGAGAAAAGGAAGUUUCCAAUCAUUGACUCAAAUCCAUUGUCGAACUCUACUCGGCGGAAUAUGGAGGUACUUAUGGCCAAACGGGCCAAUCUGGUCUUUCACAAUAAAGUGAUAGAUAGAACUGCCAUUAAACGACUUAUUAGUAGAUUAAUAGAUAAUUUUGGAAUGGCAUAUACAUCACACAUCCUGGAUCAAGUAAAGACUUUGGGUUUCCAGCAAGCCACUGCUAUAUCCAUUUCAUUAGGAAUUGAUGAUCUUUUAACAAUACCUUCUAAGGGAUGGCUAGUUCAAGAUGCUGAACAACAAAGUUUGAUUUUGGAAAAACACUAUCAUUAUGGAAAUGUACACGCGGUAGAAAAAUUACGCCAAUCUAUUGAGAUAUGGUAUGCUACAAGUGAAUAUUUGCGACAAGAAGUGAAUCUUAAUUUUAGGAUGACAGAACCCUUUAAUCCAGUCCAUAUAAUGUCUUUUUCGGGAGCUAGGGGAAAUGUAUCUCAAGUACACCAAUUAGUUGGUAUGAGAUGAUUAAUGUCGGAUCCACAAGGACAAUGAUCGAUUUACCUAUUCAAAGCAAUUUACGCGAAGGACUAUCUUUAACAGAAUAUAUCAUUUCUUGCUACGGAGCCUGCAAAGGGGUUGUCGAUACCGCUGUAUGAACAUCAGAUGCUGGAUAUCUUACGCGUAGACUUAUUGAAGUAGUUCAACACAUUGUUGUACGUAGAACAGAUUGUGGCACCACCCGAGGGAUUUCUGUGAGUCCUCGAAAUGGGAUGAUGUCAGAAAGAAUUUUUAUUCAAACAUUAAUUGGUCAUGUAUUAGCAGACAAUAUAUAUAUAGGUCUAUGAUGCAUUGCCAUUCGAAAUCAAGAUAUUGGGAUUAGACUUGCCAAUCGAUUCAUAACCUUUCAAACACAAACAAUAUCUAUUCGAACUCCCUUUACUUGAAGGAGUACGUCUUAGAUCUAUCGAUUAUGUUAUAGCCGGAGUCCUACUCAUGGCGAUCUAGUGGAAUUGGGGGAAGCUAUAGGUAUUAUUGCAGGUCAAUCCAUUGGAGAGCCGGGUACUUAACUAACGUUAAGAACAUUUCAUACUGGCGGAGUAUUCACAGGGGGUAGUGCAGAACAUGUAUGAGCCCCUUCUAAUGGAAAAAUAAAAUUUAACGAGGAUUUGGUUCAUCCCAUACGUACACGUCAUAGGCAUCCUGCUUUUCUAUAUUAUAUAGACUUGUAUGUAACUAUUGAAAGUCACGAUAUUAUACAUAACGCUACUAUUCCACCAAAGAGUUUCCUUUUAGUUCAAAACAAUUAAUAUGUAGAAUCAGAACAAGUGAUUUCUGAAAUUCGGGCGGGAACAUACACUUUGAAUUUUAAAGAGAAGGUUCGAAAACAUAUUUAUUCCGAUUCAGAAGGGGAAAUGCACUGGAGUACUGAUGUAUACCAUGCACCUGAAUUUACAUAUAGUAAUGUCCAUCUCUUACCAAAAAUAAGUCAUUUAUGGAUAUUAUCAGGAAAUUCGUGCAGAUCUAGUAUAGUUCCUUUUUCGCUCCAUAAGGAUCAAGAUCAAAUGAACGUUCAUUCUCUUUCUAUCAAAAGAAGAUAUAUUUCUAGUCCUUCCGUAAAUUCCGUAAAUAAUGAUCAAGUUAUAUUUCUUUAGUUAAGAUUUUUCGGGUAAAAAACCAAGUAGGGUUCUGAGGACUCAAUCGUAUGGAUAUGUAAAAUACAGGAUUUCCAAUCCUAGCAGGAAAGGGAGGGAAACGGAUACUCAAUUUAAAGUGAGGAGGCACUAGUCACUGCGACCCCCUUUGUGAGGAGGCACCCCUUCUCCCGAAGUUACGGGGCUAUUUUGCAGAGUUCCUUAGAGAGAGUUGUCUCGCGCCCCUAGGUAUUCUCUACCUACCUACCUGUGUCAGUUUCGGGUAUAGGUACCCUUUUGUUAAAGGUUGUUCGAGAUUUCCUGGGAGUAUGGCAUGGGUUACUUCAGCGCCGUAGAUGAUCAAUUGGAUUAUUUCUUUGUGAAUUCCGAUACGAAACUUUUGUAGAUGUGUUUUCAGAUAUUUCUUUAUCAUUUCGUCCAAGCGAAUGAGUUCCUCUAAUUCUAUGAACUUUUCUAGAAUACUUUUUUCUUGAAUAUCAUUUACAAAAGUUUCGGAUUUACUAGUAUUACACCAAUUAAUAACCCAAGAUUCCAAACUUUUAUUAAAUAAAAAAGAGAUCCACCAGGGCAAAAAAACUAUAGCUGUAAGAUAUAGAAAGGGAAUAAAUGUUUUUUUUUCAUUUUUUCGUCUGUGAAUUUUUAAUGAACACACCUCCAUAUGAUCUAAUAUUUUUAUCAAGCAUAAGUUCUAUUAUGAGGCUUUGAACUUAUGAAUCUAUUCCCUAUUUUUUAUUUGUGAGUCAACGGUUAGUCCUUGAAUUUUGAAAGANNNNNNNNNNNNNNNNNNNNNNNNNNNNNNNNNNNNNNNNNNNNNNNNNNNNNNNNNNNNNNNNNNNNNNNNNNNNNNNNNNNNNNNNNNNNNNNNNNNNNNNNNNNNNNNNNNNNNNNNNNNNNNNNNNNNNNNNNNNNNNNNNNNNNNNNNNNNNNNNNNNNNNNNNNNNNNNNNNNNNNNNNNNNNNNNNNNNNNNNNNNNNNNNNNNNNNNNNNNNNNNNNNNNNNNNNNNNNNNNNNNNNNNNNNNNNNNNNNNNNNNNNNNNNNNNNNNNNNNNNNNNNNNNNNNNNNNNNNNNNNNNNNNNNNNNNNNNNNNNNNNNNNNNNNNNNNNNNNNNNNNNNNNNNNNNNNNNNNNNNNNNNNNNNNNNNNNNNNNNNNNNNNNNNNNNNNNNNNNNNNNNNNNNNNNNNNNNNNNNNNNNNNNNNNNNNNNNNNNNNNNNNNNNNNNNNNNNNNNNNNNNNNNNNNNNNNNNNNNNNNNNNNNNNNNNNNNNNNNNNNNNNNNNNNNNNNNNNNNNNNNNNNNNNNNNNUUAAAAGAGAAUUUCUUUAUUCUAUAUUUUAUUCCGAAAUACUUUGUUUUGAUUUAUGAGAUGGGUCUAUUAUUUCGAUUUAUUACUUGUUUUGUUACUAAAUUUACUGAAUAUUGAAAUUGAAUUUAGAUACACAUAAAAAGGUUUGAUUUUAUUUUAGAAUUGUUCCGUAUAUAUCCGUAUAUAUAUAUAUAUAUAUAUAUAAUAUAUGUCUUCUUUAGUUCAUCAAUAUUGUAUUGUGAAAUUUCAGUUAAGUUAUGCUAUAACUAUAAAAAAACGAAGACUCUUGGAUUUUUUCAUUCCUGUUAAGAAAAUGUUCAUUCUUCAGCUCAUUUCAAAAUACUUCAAUUGGUACACGCAAAAAAUAGGCCAAUUCCGCUACCUUUUGCUCAAUCUCUCGUGGAGUCAAAUUCUCAUCAGUACGAGUCAAAGGAAUGGACCCUCGGCCUUUGGUUUCCAUAUAAAGGACACGCCGAGCAAAAAUACCCUCUUUCACUUCUAUUCUAAUAGACUGAAUAUCCUUCAUAAGGAAUCGGAGGAAGAUGCGACGAUUUUUUCCAGGGAAUCCCCAGCGAAAAAUACACACUAUUCCUUCUUUUCUGUCGAAUCGAUCAUAACCACUACCUACAUUCCACAAAAUUGUGUACCACAAAUAAGAACUAAUAAAUAGACCGGCAAUCCCAUAGAAAGACAUCACGAUCCCUUGUGGAAAAAAAAUUAUUUGCUGAGACGGAAAUAAAGAUAUCAAAUUUCUGCCAAGAUAACUCGAAAUUCCAACCAUUAAAAUCCCAAUGAACCUAAAAAAAGUAUAAAGGCCCAGCAGAAAUUACUUGUUUUGCGAGACCCCGCUAUAAGUUCUAUCCAUAUAUGUUCUUAUCGCCAACUCAUACUAGAUCCAAUUAUUUUUUAUUUGAAGCGGGAGACUAGCCCAAAUGAAUUUGACUUUUUUUUUUUUUUUUUCCGAAGUAACUUUCAUCAACUCAGAUUAUUCUGGUGUGAAUCUUUAGGAGGAAUUCAUCGAGUUCGUUAGAUUAAAAAAAAGAGAGCUCAGCCCCCCUAUAGGAUCCCCUAUCUGCACAUAUAUAAAAAUAUCAGCUUUACUUUGCAUUUCUUUCAAGCAUCCGCCACAGUUUCGAUUUAUUUUCAAAUAGUCCAUUUACUUAUAUAUCAUAUAUCAUAUUUACAUCUGCAUAAGAACCCUUUCAUUUUCAUUUACGUUUGAAGGGAGCUGCUCGUAUGUUAUAUCAUAUUAUACUAAACUAAAGAGAUAUCCAUAUUAUAUCUGUAUUAUAUUAUAAUCCAAGUCUAAGUCUUGAAAAAAAAAAAGAAAUGAAAUCUACCCCCGUUAGACCUAAUUGGAUCUAAAAAAUCUUAUUUUUUUGAACAUGAAGAGAUAAGGAAGCCAUCGCAAUUGCCGGCAAUACUAAGCCUACUAAAGGCACAAAAAUGGAGGGUAAGCUGUUGAGAAUUGUCAUAGAAUAGGCACCUCGAUUUAAUAUUUGUACCUGUUAUUUAAUUUUUUUAUUAUAUAUUAUAUUAUUUUUAUAUUAUAUUAUUUUGAAUAUUUUAAUAUAUAUUUAAUAUAUUUAUAUAUUUUCAUUAUUUUUUUUAUUAUUAUUUUUUAUUAUUAUAAUUAUUUUUUUAUUAAUUAUUAUUUUAUUCUAUUAAUUUAAUAAUUUAAAUUAAUUAUAAUUAUAUUUAUAUUAAUUAUUCUAUUAUUAGUUAUUUAUUAGUUAUUUAGUUAUUAGAAAGAUUUCUUAUAAUCAUUAAAAUUCAUAUAUAAUUAUACUAAGUAUAUCUAAGUGAGUAUAUAUAAUAUAAUAAAGUGCAAAGAGCGUAGAACUAACUAAAUGACUUAUUCAUAUUUCUACAUGAAAUAUGAUAAUCCAUUUAUUUGUUAUUCUUCUUUUAUUAUCUUUUUUUUUCUUGUCUUAUAACUUUCAUUUUUCUUUUUUCUUUUUUUUUAACUUUACUUUAAUAGAAAAUAUUUUAAUAUAUUUCGUAUAAAAUAAAAUAAAAAAGAGUUUUUCCGAUUAUAAAUUUCCCCAAAAUUCGUUAUAAUUUAGAAUCCGUCGAUUUUUUUUAGUAAAAAAAAAGGGAUUCCCGGGAGAUAUAUAAUUAUGCAAAACUCUAUAUUUUCUA
rnacentral:lncRNA from 1 species